ACACCUUUCUCGGCCCUCUGGCUAAGAUUUAUUAGAUUAAUAUCUGAUAGUGCAGGUCUCUUCGACGGCAAGGUAUUAAUUUUUUUUUUCAUGGGGGAGUUCCCACCACAGCAGCUUGCUGCUGGGGGGUUCCCAUGCGUCGCAUCUGCGUUGCAGAACAACUGCAAAGGACUGGCGCACCCCCU